UUAAAGAGCCAAAGACAAUGCAGAUACA
rnacentral:piRNA from 1 species